rnacentral:rRNA from 1 species
GACGAACGCUGGCGGCGUGCUUAACACAUGCAAGUCGAACGGAAAGGCCUGCUUUCCCUUGUGGAUUGCGGGUACUCGAGUGGCGAACGGGUGAGUAACACGUGAGUGAUCUGCCCCCAACUUGGGUAUAAGCCUGUGAUACUGCGUCUAAUUCCCGGUAGGACUGCAGGGUGGUGCCUGUGGUGGAAAACGAUUUUCUAGUGGGUGGGGAUGAGCUCGCGGCCUAUCAGCUUGUUGGUGGGGUAAUGGCCUGCCAAGGCGGCGACGGGUAGCCGGCCUGAGAGGGUGGACGGCCACAUUGGGACUGAGACCCGGCCCAGACUCCUACGGGCGGCAGCAGUGGGGGAUAUUGCAGCAUGGGCGGAAGCCUGAUGCAGCGACGGCGCGUGGGGGAUGACGGCAUUCGGGUUGUAAACUACUUGCGACCGCGAGGAAGCCACCUGGUUGGAAGGGUGGUGACGUUAGUGGUAGAAGAAGCACCGGCUAACUACGUG